rnacentral:SRP_RNA from 1 species
GUGUGCUAGACGGGGAGUUAGCGGUGCCCUGUGACCCGGAACCCGCUACACCGGGGUUGAAUCCCCACCGGCGGCCUGUCCCGCUUACUGUGCGGAAGAGGUAAGUGGUGUUGAUGGUCGGGUCCCGUACAAUACGGGCACACUGAAUCCCGCCAGGACCGGAAGGUAGCAACGGUAGGUGAGAGUCGGUAUGUGUUGCGGGGCAGCCUGGCUGGAGCCGGCUGCUUCGGAAACCUUUAGGCGGAGGGACAACGGUGGGUGCACAC